AUUGGAGGGCAAGUCUGGUGCCAGCAGCCGCGGUAAUUCCAGCUCCAAUAGCGUAUAUUAAAGUUGUUGCGGUUAAAAAGCUCGUAGUUCGAGUUCAGUUUCGGACUGGAGUGGGAGGUCACCGCCCGGUGCUUCCCCUGUAGACUCCGAACAGCUUCCUUUAUGGGAAGCCAAGCCGGUUCUGGCGGGGUGCUCUUUACCGAGUGUCCCGCGCGGCCGGCCAGUUCACCUUGAAUAAAUGAGAGUGCUCAAAGCAGGCUACUCUGGAAUACAAUGCCCGAAUGUUAACUGCAUGGAAUGAUGGAAGAUGAUCUCGGUUCUAUUUUGUUGGUGGUGGGAGCCAGAGGUAAUGAUAAACAGGGACUGUCGGGGGCAUCCGUACUACGACGCGAGAGGUGAAAUUCAGUGACCGUCGUAGGACGAACAACAGCGAAAGCAUUUGCCAAGAAUGUCUUCGUUGAUCAAGAACGAAAGUUAGAGGAUCGAAGGCGAUCAGAUACCGCCCUAGUUCUAACCCUAAACGAUGCUGACUAGCAAUUCGCCGUCGUUAUUCCCAUGACGUGGCGAGACGCCCCCGGGAAACCUCAAGUUUUUGAGUUCCGGGGGUAGUAUGGUUGCAAAAUUGAAACUUAAAGGAAUUGACGGAAGGGCACCACCAGGAGUGGAGCCUGCG
rnacentral:rRNA from 1 species